GACGAACGCUGGCGGCGUGCUUAACACAUGCAAGUCGAACGGGAUUUAGUAAAAAGAAACCUCGGUGGAAGAUUACUAAUGAGAGUGGCGAACGGGUGAGUAACGCGUGAGCAACCUGCCUAUGACAGUGGGAUAGCCUCGGGAAACCGGGAUUAAUACCGCAUAAAAUCGUAGAAACACAUGUUUUAACGGUCAAAGAUUUAUCGGUCAUAGAUGGGCCCGCGUCUGAUUAGCUAGUUGGUGAGAUAACAGCCCACCAAGGCGACGAUCAGUAGCCGGUCUGAGAGGAUGAACGGCCACAUUGGAACUGAGACACGGUCCAAACUCCUACGGGAGGCAGCAGUGGGGAAUAUUGCACAAUGGGGGAAACCCUGAUGCAGCGACGCCGCGUGAACGAAGAAGGUAUUCGUAUCGUAAAGUUCUGUCCUAUGGGAAGAUAAUGACAGUACCAUAGAAGAAAGCUCCGGCUAAAUACGUG
rnacentral:rRNA from 1 species